AUGGAGAAGUAUUUGAUAAAGAAAUCAAGAGAUGUCAACACCACCACCCAAGGUCCUCCUGUCACCACCAACAGUUCAAGUGGUAGUGGAAAUGCAUCAAGACCUGUACCAAGACAUAAUUCUGCUGUGCCUGCACUAAUUGACUUGAACAAGCUUCCUCGGGAUCCAUCUAAAAGGAAGCGAAUGGCAGAUUAUCACCCAAACCAGCGUGAUGAGAUAAGAAGAAAGUAUUUAAUUUGGGGACCUAAUCAGCCUGACAUUGACUUUCCAUACAGAGAGUUUGGGAAGAAGAAGAAGAGGAGGAGGUUCAAUGCAGAUUGGUACGACGAUUAUGCAUAUUGGCUAGAGUACAGCGAGAAGGAGCACAAGGCCUAUUGCUUAUGUUGCUAUUUGUUUAGAGACAACAUCAAAGAUAGCCACCAUGGGAAUGAUGCAUUUGUAGUGGAAGGCUUCAACAGUUGGAACAAGCCAGAGCGAUUUGUGACUCAUGUCGGCAAUGGUAAUAGCUUUCACAACAGGGCACUCAAGGAUUGUGAGGGUCUACUAAAAAAAGAUCAAUCAAUCUCUGCAGCCAUGCAUAGACAAAGCGAAAUUGAAAAGAAUGAGCAUCUCAUCCGCUUAAAUGCUGCAAUUGAUGUUUGUGGAUAUUUGUUGCAUCAGGGGCAACCUUUCCGUGGUCACAAUGAAUCUAAAGAUUCUGAAAAUAAAGGAAACUACCGUGAGUUGAUGGAUUACACUAUUAAGUAG
rnacentral:rRNA from 1 species